GAUUUUUUUUAUUGACAUUUUUCUGAAAUCAUUUCAACUUGAGAUUUUUCUUUUUACAAGACAUUUUACAGAAAACCAAAGUUAGCUAGGUUAAAGAUAAAAUAAAAGUAAAAAAUAAUUAGACUUUUUAAUGGAGUUUGAAGAGAGAACGGUUACCUAGACUUGUACCAAUACAGGUGCACAAUACAUACAACAUGGGAAUUGCCCGAUAUUUAAACACAGUUUAAUGGCAGGUACCAUGUGGCUGCUUGACAUUUACUUUGAGAUGC